GGCUGCGGUAGCCAUGGUGACCGGUGGAGGCCCGCCCCCGCCCCCUGCCCCGGCCCCCUGACGUCGGCUCACGUCAGCGCCGGCGCGCGCCUGGCUGGGCCCUGUGGGGCGGGAGGGAAGCAGCGCCGGAGCGAGAGCCGCGGCCGUCGCCCAGAGCCCAGGCGCGCCGCCCGACGCCCUCCUGCCCGCUCCGUGCCGCUUCUUGCCGGCCAGUUCGUUCGCGUUCCCGUCGCCGUGUCCUGCAGCGGGGGCCAAGCAUGGUCAUGGCGGAUGGCCCGAGGCACUUGCAGCGCGGGCCAGUCCGGGUGGGGUUCUACGACAUCGAGGGCACGCUGGGCAAGGGCAACUUUGCCGUGGUGAAGCUGGGGCGGCACCGGAUCACCAAGACGGAGGUGGCUAUAAAAAUAAUAGACAAGUCACAGCUGGAUGCAGUAAACCUUGAGAAAAUCUACCGAGAAGUACAGAUAAUGAAAAUGCUCGACCAUCCUCACAUCAUUAAACUGUAUCAGGUAAUGGAGACCAAAAGUAUGUUGUACCUUGUGACAGAAUAUGCCAAAAAUGGAGAAAUUUUUGAUUAUCUUGCUAAUCAUGGCCGAUUAAAUGAAUCUGAAGCCAGGAGAAAAUUCUGGCAAAUUCUGUCUGCUGUUGAUUAUUGCCAUGGCCGGAAGGUAGUGCACAGAGACCUGAAGGCUGAAAAUCUCCUGCUGGAUAACAACAUGAAUAUCAAAAUAGCAGAUUUCGGCUUUGGAAAUUUCUUUAAAACUGGUGAACUGCUGGCAACAUGGUGUGGCAGCCCCCCUUAUGCAGCCCCAGAAGUCUUUGAAGGGCAGCAGUAUGAAGGACCACAGCUGGAUAUAUGGAGCAUGGGAGUUGUUCUUUAUGUCCUUGUCUGUGGAGCUCUACCUUUUGAUGGACCAACUCUCCCUAUUUUGAGGCAGAGGGUUUUAGAAGGAAGAUUCCGGAUUCCUUAUUUCAUGUCAGAAGAUUGUGAACACCUCAUUAGAAGGAUGUUGGUCCUAGAUCCUUCCAAACGGCUAAGCAUAGCUCAAAUCAAGGAGCACAAGUGGAUGCUCAUAGAGGUUCCUGUACAGAGGCCUAUUCUCUACCCACAAGAACAGGAAAACGAGCCGUCCAUUGGAGAAUUUAAUGAGCAGGUUCUUCGACUGAUGCACAGCCUUGGGAUUGAUCAGCAGAAGACUGUUGAGUCUUUGCAAAACAAGAGCUAUAAUCACUUUGCUGCCAUUUAUUUCUUGUUGGUGGAACGUCUAAAAUCACAUAGGAGCAGUUUUCCUGUGGAGCAGAGACUUGAUGGCCGCCAGCGUCGGCCUAGCACCAUUGCUGAACAAACAGUUGCCAAGGCACAAACUGUGGGGCUGCCAGUGACCUUGCAUCCACCGAACGUGAGACUGAUGCGAUCUACCCUCCUCCCACAGGCAUCCAAUGUGGAGGCCUUUUCAUUUCCAACAUCCAGCUGUCAAGCAGAAGCUGCCUUUAUGGAGGAAGAGUGUGUCGACACUCCAAAGGUGAAUGGCUGCCUGCUUGACCCUGUGCCCCCUGUCCUGGUGAGGAAGGGAUGCCAGUCACUGCCCAGCAGUAUGAUGGAGACCUCCAUUGAUGAAGGCUUGGAGACAGAAGGAGAGGCUGAGGAAGACCCCAGUCAGGCCUUUGAAGCUUUCCAGGCCACACGCAGUGGGCAGCGACGGCACACUCUGUCAGAAGUGACUAACCAAUUGGUUGUGAUGCCCGGGGCAGGGAAAAUGUUCUCCAUGAGUGAUAACCCCUCCCUUGAGAGUGUGGACUCUGAGUAUGAUAUGGGGUCUGCCCAGAGGGACCUGAACUUUCUGGAAGACAGCCCUUCCUUGAAGGACAUCAUGUUAGCCAAUCAGCCGUCACCCCGCAUGACAUCUCCUUUCAUAAGCCUCAGACCUGCCAACCCAGCCAUGCAGGCUCUGAGCUCACAGAAGCGUGAGGCCCACAACCGGUCCCCCGUGAGCUUCCGAGAAGGCCGCAGAGCAUCAGAUACGUCCCUUACACAAGGAAUUGUAGCAUUUAGACAACAUCUUCAGAAUCUUGCUAGAACCAAAGGAAUUCUGGAGUUGAACAAAGUACAAUUGCUGUAUGAACAAAUGGGAUCAAACGCAGACCCUACCUUAACAUCAACUGCUCCUCAGCUCCAAGACCUUUCGAGCAGUUGCCCUCAGGAGGAAAUCUCCCAGCAGCAGGAAAGUGUCUCCAGCCUGUCUGCCAGCAUGCACCCUCAGCUCUCACCACAGCAAAGCUUGGAAACCCAGUACCUACAGCAUCGACUCCAGAAGCCCAAUCUUCUGCCAAAGGCCCAGAGUCCUUGUCCAGUGUAUUGUAAAGAGCCACCUCGGAGCCUGGAACAGCAGCUACAGGAGCAUAGGCUCCAACAGAAGCGACUCUUCCUCCAGAAGCAGUCUCAGCUGCAAGCAUAUUUUAAUCAGAUGCAGAUAGCAGAGAGCUCCUACCCUGGACCAAGUCAGCAGCUGGCUCUUCCCCACCAGGAGACUCCACUGACAUCCCAGCAGCCCCCAUCAUUCAGCCUGACCCAGGCCCUGAGUCCUGUCCUCGAGCCCUCUUCUGAGCAGAUGCAAUUUAGCUCUUUCCUCAGCCAAUACCCAGAGAUGCAGUUGCAGCCACUGCCCUCUACUCCCGGCCCCCAGGCUCCACCUCCCUUACCCUCACAAUUGCAGCAACAUCAGCAGCCACCACCCCCACCACCACCCCCUCCACCACAGCAGCCAGGAGCUGCUCCAACCUCCUUACAGUUCUCCUAUCAGACUUGUGAGCUGCCAAGCACCACUUCUUCUGUACCAAACUAUCCUGCUUCCUGUCACUAUCCUGUGGAUGGAGCCCAGCAGAGCAACCUCACAGGGGCGGACUGUCCCAGGAGCUCAGGACUUCAGGACACCGCAUCUAGCUAUGACCCACUGGCCCUCUCUGAGCUCCCUGGACUCUUUGAUUGUGAAAUGGUAGAAGCUGUGGAUCCACAACACAAUGGAGUGGCUUGUCCAAUCAGCAGAUGAAUGCACUAAGCACAAAGCGUCUUCCUUAAAGCACAAGAAGAGAGCUACUCCACAGAUGCUGCCUCUAGAAACACCUAUAAGUUGCCUUUCCUCUCUGUAGGUUGUGAGCUGCUUAGCCCGGGAGACCUAGCAGCUAUGGCAGGACAGUUAGGCAACAGAUGAGGGGCUGCGGAGAGGCUGUCAGAAGUUUAAAGGCUGCAGAGAGAAGCUGGGAACGCUCAUCAGCGGCCAAGCCUGUUAGGCACUGACACAGAGAGGAGGUGAGGACAGUCGCCUUGUGAAGACCGAGAACCAUCCUGCCGGAACCUGUCGUAAGCUCCCAUUUCCUCCUUCCUUCCUUUCAAGUAGACAUCCCUAGUUCCACGGCUACCUUUAUGUCCUGAGGUGGAAGCUGGUGAGAGCAAUGGGCCCUCCACUCAUCUGAUUGCUUCUGUGUCUGCCCCCACCUAGUGACUCAUGGAAGCUUCCAAGCCUUUUCUCCUCACAAGUACUAAAGUAACACUAAGAAGGCUUAGGCUCUCUCGUGGAGAGGCAGCUUUGUAAUACUGACGUGUCUGCCUGUCGGUUCACAUCAGCAGUGUGUACACUACUGUAUAGUAACCCUUAGCUUUGUUACUGUAAACUAGCCUCUCCAAAGAGACUGGUGAUCCAAACAUGAGGUAAAAUUUCCAUUCGGCAAAAAGUGCAAUAUGUGUGGUACUCUUUUAUUUUUUUGUUUAUGGUCUUGUUAUCCAGGGGUAUUACUCUCUGCUUUGGGGGAAAUGCAUUGCUUCUGCAAUUUCCAGUUGGGCAAGUGUGUCUCUAGUAUUUAUAUGCAACUGACAUGCUGGUCCCUGUAAGGCAAAUAGAGGAUGUUAAUGCAACAGAAGACAACCGAUACGGGUCCCACUCCUCUAUUCCAGGGAGCUGCGUGACCAGCACCAGCCCUCAACUUGCCCCAGCAUGGCUGCCUGAACUGCCACCUUGGGAACAAAGGUCGGGGGUGGGGGCAGUUCUUUAUGUCCAUAGCCCUCUAAAUCUACCCAGUGGGAUAGUGAGGACCCAGGAGAAGCCUUUGGGAGUGACGUGAGGUAUGAGAGCUGGUCUGAACAAAGCCCUUCCUGGUGCUUUGCAUCCUAGGAAAGCGGAAGCCAAGGCCUCUCUAUCUUAGAGAUGUGUUCCUGGUGUCAGGGAGGGAGGACUUCAGCCUCUCCCUCUCAUGUGCCCUCCCUAACUUUUAUAACUGAGUUCCUGCCCCCCCCCCCCCCCCCCGUACAGUGCACCCUGUGGAGUAGCACCCUCUGCCCUCCCGAGAGCUCUGUUAAAUAGAGUACUCAGCAAGCAUUCAUCACAGACCUCUCUACCUAUACCCCAGGAGCCAUUAUACCUAAGGGACUGGGGAAAGGCUGUUCUCAGCUGGGGAUGAACCAGAAACUGAAGGAGCUAAAAGUAGCAGCUUCUAGGCCAGAUGAUCAAGGGCCCCAGGUGUGCCAGCAGCUCAGGACAUGGGAUCCAGUGGGCUCUCCUUCCUCUGCAGGUUCUCCAGUCUCUAAUCAAGCCUGCUUCUUAAAUAUAUCAGGAUCGGACUUUCUCUGGUCUGGAUUACACUCAUACCAACAGUGAGUUAAGUUCCCUGUUAGUUUACAGAAAAUUCAUAGUCCAGGCAACUUUUUUACACCCCUUCUCCUUAGAGACAGACAGUAUGAAGUGUCACUUAGAGACAGACAAUAUGGAGUGUCACUUGAUGCCAGCGAUCACAGUGGGUCUUACAGAGUCCCUGUGCUGGGCUGACCUUUGCUGUGUUUGUGCCCCUAAGCUGGGCUGCCUCUACUGCCUCCUCGGAAGCCACUGGAGCCGCUCCGUCUCUCUGUGCCUAGACAUCAAAGGUAGAAACUGGAGAACAGGUAGUAAGUUGGAGUCGCUGCCCAGGCAGGAUCUUCAUCACUUUGUUGCUUCUGGAAACUUUUUAUAGAACUUACCUUCAGAAUGAUUUGUGGGAGACAAGAGCAGAGUCAACCUGUUUCAACACUGGACAAAAACACACUUCAGAACACACACAUGUCUUCCCUGGCUUGGGGGCUCAGAGAAGUGAGAGAUUUCAUGGCUUUUUGCACCACUUCAGUGGCAUGUGAAAUGAGAUAUUGAGCCUUAAAAGGUCCUUUGGGCCCUAAAAUCUCCUCUCCGAACACCUUCUCACUGAUUUGUUGAGCCAUUUUCACCCAGUUACAACAACCUAGCUGAUUCUAGAAGACUCCCAGCAUUCCUAGUUGCACCACACAUCAUAUGUCCAUAUACUAUGUGAGCAGAUUUGGGCAUGUGGCUGGCUGCAUUGAUUGACAGACAGCUUAACCACGGAUGGGUCUUACAAGUCAUGUUUACUCAGCCUGCCGUCCGUGUUCUCAGCAAUGUACCAGGCACUUCUGAGUGCUUGCUUAGAUCCCCCACAUUGGCUCUGCAGGAUUAGCUAGAGAGAUUCUGCCCAUUUUUCUGAGGGAAGCAAAGCUCUUAAGGAUGCACGACUUAGCUGAGGUCACAGAGCUCAGAAGUGGGGAUGGCAGGGAUACACACCUUCCUUGCCUGGCUUUUGGCUUUUGGCUUGUGUUGGAGCCCUGCCCCCACAGCUGCAGCCUCCAUUUGACAGCUGCCUGGCUCUAAGUGCCCUUAAAUGAUACCUGUAGCUCUCUGGGGGACUGCACUGCACAGGGAAACAUAGACACCACAGAUUGGCCGUCUUAAUGUCCAGUAAGUUGCAAAAGCUUGGGCUUACAUCAAAGACGUUUGCUUAUUCAAAGUUAUGCAAUCUAGUACUUUUCUCUAUAAGUAUAUAUUUGAAGGACAUACCUCCUCCUUGAUUGCCAAAGGGCCAAAAGGGCCCACUACUUAGUCAACACAGUCAACCCAAGAGACUGACUAGAAAUUAUGAACUCAACCUUUACCCUAAAGGAAAGGCACUAGAACAUCUUUUUUUCUUAAAAUUUUUUUUAAUUUUUUUAAACACAGUCUCACUGUGUAGCCCUGGCUGUCCUGGAACUCACUCUGUAGAGCAGGCUGGCCUCAAACUCAGAGAUGCACCUGCCUCUGCCUCCAAGUGCUGGGGUUAAAGGAGUGUGUCACUAUGCCCAUUGAAUUUCUUUACCAUUAAGUCCUGUCAAGUAGGAAGGCUUAUUAGACACUUUGAGGAUUACAAAAUGGUAAUAUGCUUUGAUGGUAGAGUGCUACCAUUUUUCAUAACCAAAAUGGGUGAGUAAGGGUAGCUUUAAAAAUAGAAAUACAAACAACACCCUGGUGGAUGGAGUAGUGUUACAUUACCAAGUGCAGAUAACCGAUGCCUACCCGACAGGAUUGCUAAGUCACGGAAAUUCAAGUGGCAAAGCAUCCUCAGUUCUCGUGGGUAAAAAGAAGAAGAAGAAAGCAGCAGGAGGGGGCAGCCUAGUGGGGGCCAGUCUGCCUCUGGGGGACUGCAGUUGAAGAAGAGUGGUAGAAACUAUUUGCACUUUCUAGAAAGGCAAGGCCAUUUGCUUAUUGCAGAAAGAACAGCUUGCUGAAUUCAGCUUGCUCUGUGAGUUACUUUCCAUAAACUUAAUCUGACUGUAGUCAUUUUUUUCUUUCAUGCUUUUUAAUUACUAAGAGAAAUUUGGCGACUUCAAUAGCUUUGGUAUUUUGUGUGCAAAUCAUAAUAGAUCCAGUGUGAAAAAAUCAAAAUGUCACCUGUCACUCAGUGUUAGAAAAUUGCCUAAAAUGCAGUUUAAUAAAUGAUCUUUGUACCAAAUUGUAAUGUAAAUGGGGUCAUUUUCUGCCAGGAAAAUGUACUGUUUUUAUGUUUCCAACUCUCCUGAAUUAAAAUAAAAACACCUUGUUUUCUAAAA